UUAGAUUUUUACACUAUUAAAGUAUAUUUGAUUAAGAGAGUUGUUUAUUACAGAUCAUGGAAAAAUAUAUAUUAGAUUUAUUCUUUGGCCUUAAUCUUUCUUAAGAUAUAAAGUUUGAUCAUCAGAUUAAUACCCAAGCAUUUAUUAUUGAAUGUUAUUGGAGCGCCUGUACUUGUACCAAACUGGAUUAUUAUUUUGCUUUUGGUGGUGAUGGGCAGAUCAACACUGUGCAUUUAUUAUUGAAUUUUAUUGGAGCGCCUGUACUUGUACCAAACUGGAUUAUUAUUUUGCUUUUGGUGAUGGGCAGAUCAACACUGUGCAUUUAUUAUUGACUGUUAUUGGAGCUCCUGUACUUUUUCAAACUAGAUUAUUAUUUUGUUUUUGGUGAUGGGCAGAUCAACACUAUGGUUUUCAAGGAAAGAUGUCUUAUUUCCAAUUUUAAAGAAUCUUGCUGAAAUCUUAAUGUUUUUCCUUCAACUUUAUUCUGGUUCCUUAUUGUAUCUAAAAUAAAUUAAGAAUGCAAAAUCUGAC